rnacentral:tRNA from 1 species
GCCGGAAUAGCUGGGAGAGCGUUAGACUGAAGUUGUUUACGCAAUAAUCAUCUAAAGGCCCCCGGUUCAAUCCCGGGUUCCGGCA